UAUAACAUCAACUGUUGAGGGGAAUGUUGUCUGGUUCGAAGUCAUUCAUAUGAAUCUUAAAUGUCUUCUGAAUGAUUUCGGACCAGGCUUCAUUCCCCCCAACUUGUUUUAAUAGCUA
rnacentral:pre_miRNA from 1 species